rnacentral:SRP_RNA from 1 species
GGGUCUUCGAACCCCGUCAGGUCCGGAAGGAAGCAGCGGUAAGGAGGCAACCCGGGGGUGCCGCAGCAAUCCUGAUCGGAGCUGGAAACCAGGGUGCCGCUGGGAGCGUUGUGAUCGACGCGGGGUGCGCGG